ACUCGUUUUUUAAAAUAUAUGUAAUCCGAUUUAUUAGAAUAUAUAUAAAUCUGUUCAAUUUAAAAAGUAUUGGAUUUAAUCAGUUAAAAUGUAUGAAUAUGAAUUAAAUAAAUCUAGCCGUGAAACAAACCAGAUAAAUUCUAUGAGAUUGGUUUACAUACAAAUUUCAGGAAACUGACUUUAGUAGAAGCGGAAAUGACGUCUAUUCACACUCCAGUCAGGAGGUGGCGCCAAAAUCAAAAAUAGACGCUACAGCACAUGGACUUCGCCAUUUUGCAUUGGACUGGAUCGUCAUCUCACUAGUCUACAAUCGCCAAAUUGUAGAUACAGCAUCAUUUCAUCGUCUAUAUGGUGGGACAACCUGCUAGACAGGUUGAAGACAUCUGUAUCUACCUCAAAGAAGGCAUGGAGAGACACAUUAAAGAAUAUGUGAAUUGUGAAAUUGGUGAGUUGGGGAUUGCACAGACAGUGGAAGUUUUGCAAAACCUACUUGGUGUCACACAUGGGUGUGAAAUUACUUUUUGGACUCAUUUAUGCACUUAAACUGAACUACCAGAAGAACAUCAGGUGCACCUUUGACCUUUCAAAAAAUCCUAAUGGAACUGGACUUGAUACAACCAAGCAAUCACUGAAAGAUGCUUCAGUGAAUACCUGACAGACACGCUGAUGCAUCCCCCUCAAAGUGGGUACAUUUUUGUACAUUUACAAGUGAACUUUUUAACAUUAAAGGAAUAUUGCACUUUCAUUAAACAAAAAUCCUGAUAAUUUACUGUCUGUCAUCGAAAAUGCUUGUCUUUUUUUGUUCAGUCGAGAAGAAAUUGUUUUUUGAGAAAAACAUUCCAGGAUUUUUCUUAAUUUAAUAGACCUUAUUGGACCUCAACAGUUAAGUUUCAAAGCAGCUUUAAAGGGCUCUAAACGAUCCCAAUCGAGGCAUAAGGGUUUUAUCUAUUCAAAAGAUUAUCAUUUUUGGCAAGAAAACUUUUAAAACACAACAACUUGUCUUGCAUUAUCCAUGUGAUACACAGUGCGACAUUGUGUACUACGUAAUAACGUUGAAGUUUACACAUCACAAAUGUGAAACGCACAUUUGUGGACCAUUUUAAAUAAUAAACGGACCCAAAGACAUUAAGUAGUAUCAUUUCGCAUACAACAACAUCUGAACGCUCCUCUUUCUCCUCGCUUGUAAACGCUGGAGCGGUAGUUUCAAUUAUGUCAUGCUAGCGUGUCACACAGCUAGUGAAAAUUUGUUGUGAGUUAUUUAAUUUAGAGCCCUUUUAAAUCUGCAUUGAAACUGUAAACUUGAGGUCAAAUAGUCUUAAAUUGAGAAAAAUCCUGGAAUCUUUAACUCAAACUUUAUUUCUUCUUGACUGAACAAAGUAAAACAUAAACAUAUGGGGUUAGAAAAUUAUCGGGAUUUUUGUUUUAUUAAAUUGGAAUAUUGCUUUAACAAUUUUAAAAGUUGAAAAGUUUUUGAAAAAUGUAAUUGAUGUAUAUCUAACAUGUAAUUAGAGAUGCAUGAAAAUUGUUAAUGGCACACAGCCACUCAAAACACUAAGCAAUGUGCCAAUGUGUGUUUUUUUUUCUUACCACCCAAUCAUUCUAAAUUAUUAUUAUUACAUCAUGUCACAGAUUUCUGAAAAUGUUAAAGUAAUGUUGUUGUCCCUGAUUUAUGUCUACCUCGAGUUUUACAGGGUUUUUUGUAUUUCUGCAGCCUGUUUGCUCAAAAUGUUUGCACUUAUUUGUGGAUUGAGGUUGAUUGUGGCUGAAAUGUCUGAAACACACUUAUUUAUUUAAUUUUUGCACACAUUACGAGGUGUAUAAGCCAUGGCUGUCAUGCUAGUUGUUAGCUGCUCUUUUUUGCUGCCUUAUGAGUAAUGCCUUGAAGUAUUAAAUAAAUUGAUAAUAUGUAAAACCAAGUGGUCUGGCUCUUCUUUUAUUUUUUGUGUUUUUUUUGUUAUAGCAUAUUGUGAUUUAGGAGGGUGAAUGGGGGAGGAAUAUAUAAAUGUAUAAAUGGUUUAUUAGUAAGAUAUCUAAAUGUAAUGCAUUUUAAGUGAAUUGGGUUUAUUAAUAAAGAAUACAUAAUCCAUUUUUUUAAUGCAUUUAAAACACAUUGGAUUAAGUAAAACUAUUACAUACAUUUUAUUGGUUUCAUUUACAUAUAUCUAAAAAAUAUCUAUCAUAUAAAGUUUAUUUGUUUUUUUUAGAUUAGAAGUAUGUAAUCCAAAUGGAUGGAAAUGUUACAUGUAAUCAAAAUACAUAAAUCUUAUGAAUUAGGCCUAAAUAUUUUUUUGAGUG